rnacentral:rRNA from 1 species
CAGCCGCGGUAAUUCCAGCUCCAAUAGCGUAUAUUAAAGUUGCUGCAGUUAAAAAGCUCGUAGUUGGAUCUCGGUAUUACUGUUGCCUGUUAGUCNUGCGUGGUUGGGCUANCUAUGCAUGGGCGCUGCUCGUGUUGUCCUGGUCUGCUGUUGCGAGCUAAUGCGGUGUCGGUGUUACCUUUUAGCCAUGUCUGUGGUGCAAUACCCGCAGGUGUAGGCGAGUGUCAGGCGGUGCUUUGCAUCAGUAAGGUCCGUCGGCUCGUUUGCAUGCCUUUGGAUGCCCUUUAAAAGGUGUCUGUGGGCGGAUGGCACGUUUACUUUGAACAAAUUUGAGUGCUCAAACCAGGCCGAUGUUGCCUGAAAAGUUUUGCAUGGAAUAAUGGAAUAAGACUUCGGUUCUAUUUCGUUGGUUUUCCGGACCGAAGUAAUGAUCAACAAA